rnacentral:tRNA from 1 species
GGCUCUGUGGCGCAAUGGAUAGCACAUUGGACUUCUAGAUAAAUAAAGGUAUUCAAAGGUUGUGGGUGUCAAGUCCCACCAGAGUCG